GAUUUUUUUUAGUAGGUGAAUUGUGCUUGUGCCUUUGAUCAGAGAUGCUGCUUUUGUUAGGUGCUGCAAAGCAUAGGAUGUUUUAUUUUCAGGUGGAUGAAGAAGCAGGGGGUUUAUGCUGUGUGUCUGUGUUCAAUGGCACAGGUUGAAGGGGAAGGAAAAGCAGAUGAAAACCAUGGAGGCCUUAUUGGAAGAGAAGGAGAAAGAGAUUGUUAAGAAAGGAGAAUGUCUGCAGGGUCAGAAGGAUACAAUUGCACAAUUAACCAGUAAAGUUCAGGAGCUGGAACAACAGAACCUGCAACAACUCCAACAGGUACAGCCUGCAGAGUGGAUGUGGUUUGGGAGUGCUGCUUGGUUCAACAGGAAGCUGUUUUUUCUCCUCUACCUCACACAGAGGAUUUGCAUUGGCUUCAACUUGGAGAUGUUUUAAAUCCUACUUGUCUAAGCUGUUUGUAAUUCAGGGAACCCACUAGUUCAGCUGUGUUCAUUCAAAACAGGUUUUACAUGGAUAGCAAGUUCUGGGAGGUUUUAACUGGGAUGAUAUUGUCCAUAAAGAGGAGCUUUGCUGGUCUGAAAGCCUUGGAGCUCACAGACAGUCCCAGCUGUGUCCUAGCCACCUCCUUGCCAGGCUGAAGCAUCUCUGCAGGGCUCUGGUCAUGCAGGAACUUUGGCUGUAACUGAACAUAGCAGCAUCUUUUGAACUGGCCAGUCUGUGCUGUGAUUGCUUCCUGCCUUUGCCUGGGGCUGGAAUAUUUUGUGUUUGAUAUCCUGCAGUGGACUUGAGAGCAGACAACUGGACAACCUUGAAGCCAGGUGUUACUUAAUGGAAGAAUUUUUCCAAUAAGGUGGUAUUCUGGCUCAGUUUGGAUUUUUUGUUGAUGGUAAAAGGAGGAGACUUGAGUUGAACUUUUAUUUUGGGUGGAUGUCUAGACACAGGCAUUUAUCCCAGGGGAAAGAUGGAAUGGAGAGCAGUUGGCUGGUGUGAAGUUUGAGAUGCUUGGUGUAAGCUCUGUUUCUGAAAUCCAUUAUGUGUUUAGAUAUUCUUGGAGCAAUGCCUGAUGCAAAAUUCCUGGUAUUUCUUUGGCAAGUGUCUUGCAAGCUGUGUGUUGUCCCUUCUCGUGCAAAGAGCUGCUGUUAAUUUGAAAACCGUGCCAUCAAAAUGAAACCAGGAAUUGCUUUUUCAGGUACCUGCUACAACCCAAGUCCAGGACGUG
rnacentral:lncRNA from 1 species